GCCAGCAGACAUAGCACUCUGUCAUCCAAAACUGCCAACCCUCUGAAGCUCAGCAGGUGUGAGCCUGGUCAGUACCUGGAUGGGAGACCUCCUGGGAAAAACUAAGGUUGCUGCUGGAA
rnacentral:rRNA from 1 species